CCCAACACAUAAAACAUCCGCCCGAGAACUACGAGCACAAACGCUUAAAACUCUAAGGACUUGGCGGUGCCCUAAACCCACCUAGAGGAGCCUGUUCUAUAAUCGAUAACCCACGAUACACCCAACCACUUCUUGCCAAAGCAGCCUACCAUACCGCCGUCAUAGCCCACCUCCAUGAGAGCACAGCAGCGAGCCCAAUAGCCUAUCAACCCCGCUAACCAAGACAGGUCAAGGUAUAGCCCAACGAAGUGGAAGAAAUGGGCUACAUUUCCUAAAAUAAGAAAACCACGAAAAGGGGCCUGAAACCUGCCCCUAGAAGGCGGAUUUAGCAGUAAAGAGAGAC
rnacentral:rRNA from 1 species